ACAACAACAACAGAAAGAGAAACGACAACAACAACAGAAAGAGGCACAACAACAACAAGAUCUCCAAAAAAAUAGCCAUGAACAAUUUCAAACAGUAUUGGUAGAAACACAAUUUGAAGAACAAUACCAACAAGAUCCAACAACAAAUGUUUCCACAUCAAAUGUCUCCAUGACAGGGUCACAUCUUCAGUAUUUGCCACGUUCCAGAUGCAAUUCAUUAGAUGAUUAUCUUAACAACCAUUCAUUCGAUGAAACCCUAUCCAUACCGAUAUCGACACCCGCACCAAAUGACAAUAGUAAGGCAAUACCUACAACAACCUCAACUACGACUGCAACUACAUCAGCCAAUCAGAAAAGCAAAAAAACAAAUUCAACAUUAGAGCGCAAAUUGGAAAUUUGAAAUACCAAAUUAGAUUACAUAAUAGAUGUAUUACACGAAAAAUCAGGACAUAGUGAGCCAGUAAAUGAAUUUGUUUUCGAAGCAAUACAGGACCAAAAACAAUUAGAGGAUUUUGAAAGCCAGCUAGGAGAAUCAAACGAUACUUUUAAACAAAAAAAUUUAACGGAGCUGCGAAGUUCAUUAAAGUUAGGGAACUCUAAAUACCAAAUACACCAGUCAUUGGACUUACUAUUUUCCCGGCAAUUUUUAGCUAAAAUGACUUGGUCCGGACGCAGUAAAACAGAGCAAAAGAUUCCUUUC